ensembl:snoRNA
CGGCACUGUCUUUGAACCUGGUGGGUCUUUUCUGUGACCUUCUUGGCCAAGCUACAGUGCCAGAUCAAAUGUAAGCUUGUUCAUAACUGGGGCUUCCUGGUAAUAUCCCCAGGUUGCCUUUUUAAAUGCAGGCUACAUUC